GCCUCUGUAGCUCAGUGGUAGAGCGCUGGUCUUCUAAACCAGGGGUCGUGAGUUCAAUCCCCAGAUUGUGGAA